UAGGGAAUCUUCCACAAUGGACGCAAGUCUGAUGGAGCAACGGCCGCGUGAGUGAAGAAGGUUUUCGGACCGUAAAGCUCUGUUGUUGGUGAAGAAGGAUAGAGGUAGUAACUGGCCUUUAUUUGACGGUAAUCAACCAGAAAGUCACGGCUAACUACGUGCCAGCAGCCGCGGUAAUCGUAGGUGGCAAGCGUUGUCCGGAUUUAUUGGGCGUAAAGCGAGCGCAGGCGGAAGAAUAAGUCUGAUGUGAAAGCCCUCGGCUUAACCGAGGAAUUGCAUCGG
rnacentral:rRNA from 1 species